rnacentral:rRNA from 1 species
UACGUAGGGUGCGAGCGUUGUCCGGAAUUAUUGGGCGUAAAGAGCUCGUAGGCGGUUUGUCGCGUCGACUGUGAAAACCUGGGGCUUAACUCUGGGCCUGCAGUCGAUACGGGCAGACUUGAGUACUGAUGAGGUAGGCGGAAUGGACGGUGUAGCGGUGAAAUGCUUAGAUAUCGUCCAGAACACCGAUAGCGAAGGCAGCUUACUAAGGAGUAACUGACGCUGAGGCACGAAAGUGUGGGGAUCAAACAGG